rnacentral:lncRNA from 1 species
AUUUACACAAACCACAAACGUUUGAUGGGAUGGUGUGUGGUUACUUGUGUGUUCGAAGGAGGGACUCUGAAUUUGAAGUAAUUUAGAGAAGUGAGAAGUUCCUGGUUCAGCAGUGAAGAAAGAAGAGAGGCAGACAUGAAGGGCCAUCACACUCUGAUCUUCCUCUUUCUGGCUCUGCAGGACAGAAUGAGCGGAGUCUUUAAUGAAGAACUUCCUGUCCAUACAGGAAGUGAAGGAGGAAAAGUCACAGUUCUGUGUGACUUUCAACUCAAUGGACAUACAAUGUUUUUCUGUAGGAAUAGAUGUGAAAAAAAGGAGGAGACUCUCAUUGAAACAAAAAAAGACAGAGAGCAGAAAGGCAGAUACAGCAUCGAAUAUUACAGAGGAGGUGUUAUAGAAAAAGAUAUUCUAAAAGUGACAAUCAGACAUCUGAAGAAGUCUGACUCAGGACGGUACAGCUGUGGUUUGAAAAGAUAUAUUUUACCUGAUGGUUCCGAUGAGUUUGAACUCAGAGUCAUCGAUGCUUCCACCACCUCAAAACCAAACGUGACUCCACUUCAGUUAACUUCACUCCCAUCAGCCACCACACCGACAACGACAGAACACAGUUUAGGCUCCACGUCUUCACCCCCCUCUGAGACCACCGGCCUGUCUGAGACCUCACCUGAGGAAUCUGGAGGCUCAGAGUCCUCCAAAGUUUGGCUGAUUUUGAUCCUGAUUCUGGUCUUCACGAGCAUCUCAUUAUCUGCAGCUGUGCUGCUAUUCUGCUGGACCAGGAAGAGUAAACCGAGCGAACUUGCUGAGGAAAGUUUUUACGCCAAUGUCACCAAGGACCAGCGAGUGUACGAGAAGGUGGAGGAGGGGGGCGGCGCAGACGGCGUGUCCACGAUUUACCUCCAAUCCUACAGCUUGGUUGGCGCCUCUUCAGCCAUGAAUCAGGACAAAGCCGCAGACACGGAUGGUUUUGUCUACUCUAUGGUGAAUUUCCCCAAAAACGCAGCGGCGUCGCACCACGGCGCCCCCCCUGCUAAAGAAGAUGCUGUCAUCUACUCUGUUCCUCGAGGGGCCGCCGACGCUUCAACUUCUCUGUACUCGACUGUCAACAAACAUUAA